rnacentral:rRNA from 1 species
UACGUAGGGUGCAAGCGUUGUCCGGAUUUAUUGGGUUUAAAGGGUGCGUAGGCGGGCUAUUAAGUCAGUGGUGAAAUCCAGCAGCUCAACUGUUGAUGUGCCAUUGAUACUGGUAGCCUUGAGUACAGAUGAGGUAGGCGGAAUUGACAGUGUAGCGGUGAAAUGCAUAGAUAUUGUCAAGAACUCCGAUAGCGAAGGCAGCUUACUGGGCUGUAACUGACGCUGAUGCACGAAAGUGUGGGGAUCAAACAGG